CUCUUCAUCAUCGUCUCCUUUCUCGUCUUACUCUCCGCCGCCGUCGGCUUCUCUUUCGUUGCUAAUCCUAACGACUUCCCCGAGCCCUUGUAUUCAUUGAUGAUCAUGGAUAUGUGGACUAGUUGGGUUAUGGUGGCAUUUUCAUAUUAUCCAAGUUUCUCAUGAAGUGUUGACUGCUCACGUUAUAGUUUCAUUGUCUUCUGUGCAGUGUAAGCUCUUGAUAGCUCGUUUUUGCUAAUUUACUCUUCUUAAAAUCUUCAUUACACAUAGUUGUGUCUCGUCUCUCAUUAUAAUGACUUAUACAUAUUUCUCCUAAUAAUGAUAUAUCUGAUGAUGAUUUUUCUGUAACUGAUUUUCUUCUUGUGACCAUGUUUUUUAAUUGAUAUCGAGUUAUUUUCUUCAUUCUUUGAGCGAGCAUCAGUGAUGUAAAAUCUCUUUCGUUAUCCUUGCACUUUGAUUGCCCGUGAAGAUAAAUGUGGGGAAAUUAAUACUGAGAUGUUCGAACUCAAUUCUCUCUUUAUAAUUGUGUAUUUUAAUUUUUUAAUCGAAGAUACGGAGAAAAUAGUGUUGAUAUUUUUAACGUAGUUGUAUUAAUUAUCCCUAUUUUGUUUUAUUGAAAAUAAUUAUCUAUUUUAUUAAUUUGUAUUUUUUUUUAAAAAAAAAUUCAUCUUAUUUUGCAAGUUUCGUAUCAAAUAACAGUCAUCAUCUAUCAGGCGUCACCGCCCAGUUUUUUUCCCGUGAAGAAGUGCCAUCAACAGCGAUACUAGUGAUUGCGGAUCAUUGGAUAUUCUUUCGCUACAUCUUGAGUAGCAAGCCAUUUUUAGAUCAUGAUUGUUGAAGGGAAGCGUCUUUUGAUUAUUUUUUAUACUUGAAUUGAAGCUUGAGCCUCUAAACUGGUGUAAUAUAUAUACAAAGUUCAUGAGUUCCAUCACUCGUGUAAUUUAUAUGCAAAGUUCUUGUCUUGAACAUGGAUAAAAUAGUAUUGUUAAUUCCUCA